rnacentral:rRNA from 1 species
AUUGAACGCUGGCGGCAGGCCUAACACAUGCAAGUCGAGCGAGCGGCGGACGGGUGAGUAAUGUCUGGGAAACUGCCUGUUGGAGGGCGAUAACUACUGGAAACGGUUGCUAAUACCGCAUACCAUCAGAUGUGCCCAGAUGGGAUUAGCUAGUAGGUGGGGUAACGGCUCACCUAGGCGACGAUCCCUAGCUGGUCUGAGAGGAUGACCAGCCACACUGGAACUGAGACACGGUCCAGACUCCUACGGGAGGCAGCAGUGGGGAAUAUUGCACAAUGGGCGAAAGCCUGAUGCAGCCAUGCCGCGUGUGUGAAGAAGGCCUUCGGGUUGUAAAGCACUUUCAGCGGGGAGGCGUUACCCGCAGAAGAAGCACCGGCUAACUCCGUGCCAGCAGCCGCGGUAAUUC